rnacentral:tRNA from 1 species
GCGUAUGACAUAAACUUAUUUUGCAAAAAUAAGUACGGUGAUUCAAAUUACCCAUAUGCU